UUUUCAUGUGGUUUUUAGUAAAGUUUAUUUAGAAUAAAGAAAGCAUGUGCCCAUGUAACUACAGACAUGCAUUGCUUAAGGACGAGGAUACAUGCUGAGAAAUGCAUUAUUAGGGCAUUUUGCCAUUGUGCGAACAUCGUAGAGUGUACUGAAGGGCAUCAAAAUUUGCCACCCCAAGAUGUGUCUCUUCAACCUGAGGAUGAUUGUAGGCUGAUUAUUUUUAAGAAACAAAAAACCAAGAAAAUUUUUCUUGUUACCUGCCCCUAACUACGUAAAAGAAUUCAGAUAAAAAAAAAAAAAAACCUGUCUCUGGAAGCAAGCUAUCACCAUAGCAUAACAUGAACUGGGUGGUUGAUAGGAACCUAGAAAAGCCUGUUUGUUGGGCUCCCUGCUGUGUUCUUCUGUGUCUAUGUGGCCAAACAACUUGUUUUCCAAGCAUUUGCUCCUUUUCACUUACCUGUGAAUUGCCUUCCUUUCCUUUGAAGUCCCUGACUGUCCCCACCCCUAAACGUCUUCUUUUGUCUUUAGCUGAUGAUGGUAUUUAAGGUGAAGCCUUCAGCCAUUUUGUCAGUUACUCAGUUUCCUGAAUUUCUCUCAUAAAAAGAACAUUGAAUGAAUUUUAAGAAAUAAGUGCAAUAAAAGGAACAGACUGCUCAUAAACAUGAGCACAUAGAUGAAUGUCAGAAUCAUUAUGGAAUCUUCUGAAUUGGCUCUGCCUCUGCUUCGAAACAGCCAGUGACUUCUGGGAAUAUUUAUCUCCAUGCGUGUGGCUACACGAAAUACCUAAAUAACAUGAAGUAUUACCAUGCCUGACUCUCAUCCUUGUUUUUGUGCAUUUCUUCACUGAUCUGUCCUCAUCUUUUUACAAUGUGAUGCAAAACAUUGCCUCACUCUCAGCAUGAAAAA
rnacentral:lncRNA from 1 species